AAAGUACUCCCUCCAUCCCAAAAUACUUGUCUUAGAUUUGUCUAGAUACGGAUGUAUCUAAUACAUUCGUAUCUAGACAAAUCUAAGACAAGAAUUUUGGGAGAGAGGGAGUAGUUG
rfam:Triticum aestivum genome assembly, contig: Triticum_aestivum_CS42_TGACv1_scaffold_576783_7BL